rnacentral:rRNA from 1 species
GAUGAACGCUGGCGGCGUGCUUAACACAUGCAAGUCGAACGGAGUGCUCAUGACGGAGUUUUCGGACAACGGAUUGGGUUACUUAGUGGCGGACGGGUGAGUAACGCGUGAGGAACCUGCCUCGGAGUGGGGAAUAACAUACCGAAAGGUGUGCUAAUACCGCAUAAUGCAGUUGGGUCGCAUGACUCUGACUGCCAAAGAUUUAUCGCUCUGAGAUGGCCUCGCGUCUGAUUAGCUAGUUGGCGGGGUAACGGCCCACCAAGGCGACGACCAGUAGCCGGACUGAGAGGUUGACCGGCCACAUUGGGACUGAGACACGGCCCAGACUCCUACGGGAGGCAGCAGUGGGGAAUAUUGGGCAAUGGGCGCAAGCCUGACCCAGCAACGCCGCGUGAAGGAAGAAGGCUUUCGGGUUGUAAACUUCUUUUGUCAGGGACGAAACAAAUGACGGUACCUGACGAAUAAGCCACGGCUAACUACGUGCCAGCCGCCGCGGUAAGAC